rnacentral:tRNA from 1 species
UUCUCAGUAGCUUAUCGGGUUAGAUCAUCUGACUGUUAAUCAGAGGGUCGCUGGUUCGAGCCCAGCUUCAGGAGCCA